AAAAGAAUAAGAAGAGGUUUGAGAGAGGCUUAAAAAGGGCUUGGCGUUGGAACUGUUUGGGAAGAAGAGAAGUCAAGCGCCAACAUGUUUUUAUAUAUUCAUUGUGUUUGUUAUUCUCUUAUGUUUUAUAUUGUUACUCCUACGGGGGGAAAGGGUUUUGAUAAAAUCACAAGAUUUUUUGGGCAUCUGCUGCGAAUUUUCGUUGUUGAUGAACUCAAGAAAAUCUUCAUGUUACUUGCAAUUAGCCUCGAGUAAGACCUUCGAUAGUUUUAUUACACCAAAAGGCUACGACAGUACCACACGGUUGGUUCACCUGAUAUUGACAACGAACUCUUAUCCUCACAUUGAUAUGGAAAGCUUUAGGCUCAGACUAGCAGUCAAUAAAAGGGUUUUUUGAUAUGAUUUAUAAACAACUUCGACAUCAAAUACCU
rnacentral:lncRNA from 1 species